rnacentral:lncRNA from 1 species
GGAUGACACCACUGAUUGCCUGGUUGCUGGUGAAUCUCUGUGAUCUGACAGCAGGGGCAGAGCGAGCUCAGCUAAUGUGUCAGCGCUCCUGUGAGGAGUUGAAUGUUCUGUUGUCGGAGCUCCAUGACCUCCGCAUGGUCACCACAAGCUUGCUGAUCGACCUGGAGAGAGCUACUGAGGAGCAUGAGGCACUGCGUGUAGCCCUCUCUGAGCUGGGCAGUCAUGUGGACAGAGAGGGAAAAGGAGGUGAAGAAGAAGGAGGAAGAGGAGAGGAGAGAGUGUGUAUGCAGGAUGGGCAUGUGUAUCAGCCAGAGGAGAGCUGGGUUUCGGACAGCUG